rnacentral:snRNA from 1 species
AUACUUACCUGGCAGGGGAGCUACCAUGAUCACGAAGGUGGUUUUCUCCAGGGCGAGGCUUAUUCAUUGCACUUCGGAUGUGCUGACCCCUGCGAUUUCCCCAAAUGUGGGAAACUCAACUGCAUAAUUUGUGGUAGUGGGGGACUGUGUUUGCGCUCUCUCAUG